AUGUGGAAGCCCCAGGACUCAAACCUGCGAGGAUCUCAAGCCAAAGCGCGGCUCACUUUGUCUGAGUUGCCCUGCUUGGGUUGUUUGGACAUCAGGUACUCUAAUGGACAUAGCACAAUUUCCAGUGGCCGUUCAACUCCAGCUACGAUGAAUGGACAAGAGAGCACUACUGCUUCAAGCAAACAUAUUGCCUAUAACUGUUGUUGGGACCAGUGCCAGGCGCUUCAACUCCAGCCCAGACCUGGCAGAUCACAUUCGCUCCAUACAUGUAGAUGGUCAGCAUGAAGGGGUAUUUGUUUGCUUGUGGAAAGGUUGUAAGGUGUAUAACACCCCAUCAACCAGUCACAGUUGGUUACAGUGGGCACAUGCUGACACACAGUGGAGACAAACUUUUCAAGUGUGUAGAUGGUGGCUGCAAUGCCAGCUUUGCUUCUCAGGGAAGGCUAGCUCGCCAUGUACCCACACGCUUCAGUCAGCAGAAUUCUUCAAAAGUUUCUAACCAGCCCAAGGCCAAAGAAGAAUCUCUUCCUAAAGCUGGAAUGAACAAGCGGAGGAAACUGAAGAACAAGAGACGGCGCUCAUUGCCACAGCCACAUGAUUUCUUCGAUGCACAGACACUGGACGCCAUAAGACAUCGAGCCAUAUGCUUUAACCUCUCCACUCACAUUGAAAGUUUAGGGAAGGGACAGUGUUGUUUUUCAUAGUACUGUAAUAGCUAACAGAAAGGAGGAAUCCAGAAAGAUCAAGCUUUUGCUUCAUUGGAUGCCCGAAGACAUUCUGCCAGAUAUAUGGGUGAAUGAAAGUGAAUGACAUCAGUUAAAAACUAAAGUAGUUCAUUUAUCAAAGCUACCCAAAGAUACUGCCUUGCUGUUGGGCCCAAACAUUUACAGAACAAUGCUGUAGAAGAGGUUGGAGAGAACUCUGAUAAGAAAAAUGUUCAAUUUGUAUUUAAGCAAACAGUGAACGACAUUUGCGGUCAACUAAAAAUUCAUCUAUCGACUUAGGUGUGAGAAUCACUGUUAAAGAGUGGUGCCGUAUGUCUGAUGGCUCCCUUUUCAGGACUAGGGUCUCCCAUGGGGUACAGCAUGUUAAUAUUUACUCCAUAACUCUUUUGUCAAUGGUUUUUGAAAAAAACCUCAGUUUCAAAUUAUUUGAAUAAUCUCCAUAGUUUCAUUUAACCUGACUUUUAAAAUUUUUUUCCCGAGGAAAGUGUUUUUUUGAGGGUUUUUUUUUUUUAAUGUUAAAGAAUUGUCUUUUUUUUUAAAAAAAAUCUUCAAACUGAAUCUUUUAUGCACCAAAGUUGGUUUUUAAAAGGAAAAUAAAAUCACUUUCUUGCUUGGCAGGCAAGAAGCCAUAUGGAAUUUUUUAAACUUUUACAGAAAUGUGUAACUUGUCAAUACUGUAUCAAACAAAUGUUGCAUAGAAAUAAUAGAGCAUUGCUUGUAAAUAAUUCAGCAGACUUGUAUAUUUUUCUAUUAUGAAAUGUACUGUAGAUGUUUUCUAGAGGCAUGAAUCAAUGUAUAUAUUAUGGUAGAAAUAAUAUUGAAGGAAAAUGUAACUCACUAGUGCUGCCAGAGGGAUUGGUGACAAAGCACCUUUAAUGAGAGAUGUCUGCAGACUGAAGGGACUGUGUACUACUGUUAAUGAUCAAAGCUUGGGCAUCCUUCCAGAAGGUCUUUGAGGGAGGACCUAGACCCAUAAGAGAAGUUUAUGGCACUACCCUUGACAGUGACUGCACUAGUUGUUCCUUCUUGUUGGGAGCCUGUUCUGUAAAGCACGCGCUGUGCAGUCAGACUGCAGCAAGCACGCCUCACCCAGAGUUCUCACUCCCUACACUGACAGGAAGACCAGCACUUUUUACUCUAAAUUUUUUAAAAAAUAGACAAAUAUAAAUUUAAUCCUUUGGUUCCAAAAUGGGAAAGGUUCCAUGAUGCAUAGAUCAUUUCUUAUUUGCUUAAAAAAGAAAGACCACAUGCACACAAGGUCCCAAAAGAAUGGGAGGCUUUAACAGGGUGAAGAGGUAGACACUGAGCGGUCACGGAGCCUGAGGGACAAGGGAAAGCACUGCGGAUGAACACGCUCUGGAAUGGUCGUCUAAGAUGCUCUGUAGCAAACAGGAAUCUAUUUUCAGAAGAAGAAAAGCAGUGUGUUUUUACUAUUUUUUCCUUUUGCUUAAGCACUUCUUUUGUUUUGUUCUAUAUCUGCAAAGUACUCUGCGAUCUCCUAUGUUCGUUUAAAAUUUCGGUUUGUUAAAAUAUUGCCAAAUAGAGUGUUUGAGACAUAUAGUUUGUACCUGUAUUUUUAUUUUACUGUCUCAUGUCCUUGUAAGUCGUUCUUAAUUGACCAAUGAUUGUAGACCUUGCUUGAGUAUUUUUUCUAAUAAAACAAAAGCAAAUUACACU